rnacentral:tRNA from 1 species
GCGGGUGUAGCUCAGUUGGCUAGAGCGUCACGUUGCCAACGUGAAGGUCGAGGGUUCGACCCCCUUCGCCCGCUCCA